UUCGGGGAGCUUGCACAGGUGCUGCAUGGCUGUCGUCAGCUCGUGUCGUGAGAUGUUCGGUUAAGUCCGCUAACGAGCGCAACCCUCGCUGUGUGUUAUAUGUGUCACACGGGACUGCCGGUCUUAAGCCGGAGGAAGGUGGGGAUGAUGUCAAGUCAGCAUGGCCUUUAUAUCCUGGGCUACACACACGCUACAAUGGCCAACACAAUAGGUUGCUAAGCCGCGAGGUGGCGCCAAUCCAUAAAGUUGGUCUCAGUUCAGAUUGUAGGCUGCAACCCGCCUGCAUGAAGAUGGAGUUGCUAGUAACCGCAGGUCAGCUAUACUGCGGUGAAUACGUUCCCGGGCUU
rnacentral:rRNA from 1 species